GUAAGCAUCUGAAAAUGUCACUGCUUCAAAUUUUCACAGACUCCAUUGUUGCUAGGAAAACUGACAAUGACAUACAUAUUCUCACAGUAAAUUUUCCACGAGACAGAAAGGAGCCUGACUCCCAUAGUGCUUUUCACACAUUAACGUCUAAUCUGGAUUAUCUCUCUGCCUUUCAGAUGAUAUAACACUACAAACCUGAGACAGGGAUAUAAUGUCUUUAAAGAUAAUCAGUAAAAUCAGAAGCAGGUUGUUAUUUCCUGCAGAGGAGACAGGAUCAGUGACUCGGAGCUGUAAUGCUGUAAAUCAAACAGUCCCUGCCUUUGCUGAUUCCCAUGGGAACAGACUCCUUUAGAUGACAGGAGCAGUCUAAAUUCUCUGGGUCAGUGUACUAGUGGCUCUGGCCAUACCUAGGAUCUACUGUUUCCUGGGUAUGGCCAGAGCCUGACAGCUUAGAAGCCACAGGGCUGUCACUUUUAUAAGCACUCCCUGUCCCUGAUUGAAGGACUGUGUGCAUUCAAAUGCAUCAUGAAAUAGGAACCAAUGAGAAGAUUGAUCUCAUUUCCAGCACUGGAGGCAACUCCUGUGGUUCCCUUGGAGAUCUGAAUCAGAGUUGCUGACUCAUUUCCGCUCCUACCUUGAAUUGUGCUGAAGGAUAAGCAUUGAAAUCGAAAGUACAUGAAAGAAGAAACAUGCAAAUUACCCAGAUUUUUAGGCCAAUUUUCAAAAGGAAAGCAAACAACCUGUGACAUGCACGGUUGAUCAUAUAACUGCUGCUUCAGCAAGCAUCAAUGUUAUCUAUUUGGAAGCUCUGUUUCUCCCUGGAGGCCCUGUCUCCUGAAGAUGUCAGCAGCAGUCUGCCUUGUCUGUGUCCUUGUACAGUCAGCCUCUGACUAUAUCCACGAUCCACUGAGUCCUGGAAUAUAGCCAGAGACUGACUGGUAAGUCCCUGCACUGGCAAUGUUUCUAUUAACACUCCUGGCCCCUGAUUGAAGGACUGUGUGUAUUCAACUUGGGCAAAGACCAAGAGCCAAUAAGGGGAGUGAUCUCAUUUCCAGCAAUGUAGACAUAUCAUAUAGUUGCUUUGGAGAUCUCCAUCAGUGUUGCUGACUCAUUUCUGUCUCCCACCUGAAGGUGUAUGACAGCUGAAACAUCUCAACUGAAAAUGGAUGCCAGAAAAAAAAAAUAGUUACCUUGACUCUGACUGCAGUCUUCAAAUGAAUGAGCCAAGCUGUGCAAAGCAGGUUGUUACCAUAUCACAGGAAUUUGUAUGUGAAUCCAGACCAGCUAAAAAAUGCCUCUGUUUUUACCUGAACUGAGUGUUUCCCUCCCCUACCACCCACCCCAACAAAAAUGCUACCUUUCACAGAUCCUCUCUGCUCCCCCUGGAUGGUGAAGCCUUCCAUAGGGGGUCAUCAGAGUCUAACAUAUCCUUUGGGAUAUGGCCUAGGCCACACCAUGUGGCUUGGCUCAGGGAGUAACACUCUAUGUUCCCUUGUCUCCACUUCCUCUCCAGCAUAAACUCUAAUUGAUGUUUUUGAUUUUAGCCAUUCUGACAGGUAUAAGAUGGGAUCUCAGAGUUAUUUUGAUUUGCACUUCCCUGAUGGCUAAGGAUGUUGAACCCAUGUUAUCUGUCUUUCAGCCAUUUUAGAUUCCUCUAUUGAAAAUUGUCUAUUUAGUUCUGUACCCCACUGUUUUAUUUGGAUUUUUUGGUGUUUUGAAGGCUAGCUUCUUGAGUUCUUUUGUAUUUUGGAGCUCAGCCUUCUGUCA
rnacentral:lncRNA from 1 species